AUUGAGGUAAUGCAGUAAAGCCCAAAUUAUGUAUUCAAACCCUAAAUUGAAGAUACAAACACUUGUUACAUGCUGCAGCCGCUACUUCUCUAAAAACUUACUUCUUUUACAUUCUGCUUUCUUUCUGCAUAUCAUGCUGCAGUUUUCUUCUUCUUCUAUUUUUUUUCUACAUUGCAAAUGCAUCUUUAUGUUCCAUUUCUUCUUUCUCAUAUUUUUCCCCUUGAAUCUCUUGGGUCAGGGUGUGCAAAAACAGAAUUUCAGAGGGUGCAAAGUGCAAAAAAUACAGGAUACUAUGUGUAAUUUUUAAAAGUUCAGGGUGUGCAGAUGCACACCCUCACUUCA
rnacentral:lncRNA from 1 species